AAAAAUGUAGCAUAAACCUAAUGCACUUCACUUACACUGAAGUCAUGCUCACGUCAUGAGCCAUUUUUA
rnacentral:tRNA from 1 species